rnacentral:rRNA from 1 species
AUUGAAUGCUGGCGGCAGGCCUAACACAUGCAAGUCGAGCGAGCGGCGGACGGGUGAGUAAUGUAUGGGGACUGCACGAUAGAGGGGGAUAACUACUGGAAACGGUGGCUAAUCCCGCAUACUAUCCGAUAACCCAUAUGGGAUUAGCUAGUUGGUGAGGUAAUGGCUCACCAAGGCGACGAUCCCUAGCUGGUCUGAGAGGAUGAUCAGCCAAACUGGGACUGAGACACGGCCCAGACUCCUACGGAGGCAGCAGUGGGGAAUAUGGCACAAUGGGCGCAAGACUGAUGCAGCCAUGCCGCGUGUAUGAAGAAGGCCCUAGGGUUGUAAAGUACUUUCAGUCGGGAGGCGUUACCGACAGAAGAAGCGCCGGCUAACUACGUGCCAGCAGCCGCGGUAAUAC